AAUAAACACAGUUCAAUAUGGCUACAAUUGGAAUCGAAACAGUGAUAGUGUUUUCAUAUCUGGAAUAGCAUAACUUCUCGUUCAAGAACUGCCAGCUGUUAUUCAACUGUUCACACCUCAACAGUUGAAUCCUUUAACGUUGAAGAUGUUGACACACCUAUUGAAGCCACAGUUUAGUGCUGAAGGGUCAAACAGAAGACAGAGAGAGAAUUCCACAUACACGUUGUUCAUCAAAUACACGCGUGAAGCUGCAAGUGGAAGAAGAGGUGCUGUAAAUCUUGGGAGCAUAUUAAGGUUUGCCACUGGUACAGAGGAGGAACCUGCCUUGGGCUUUGCUCUUCAGCCUUCCAUUCAAUUUAUGGAAAGUGCUAAUUUCCUGCCCACUGCAAAUACCUGCAUAAACAGAAUGAAUUUAUCAUUGCCAGAUGAAAGUAAUCCACUACCACUGCAAGAGGAACUGUUCAAUUUGUUUGAUCUAGCAUUUUGUAACACAUUCUUUGGUUUAGAAUAAAAAAUGACAUUCACAUAUAAUUAUACCCCCAUUACCAUUGGUAAUAGAGGCUAUAUGAAUCACUCUUUCGGUCAGUCGGGCUGUCACAAAAUUUCAUCCAAUCUUCACCAAACUUGGUCACAAGUUGUAUCUAGAUGAUGUCUAGGUCAAGUUUGAAUAUGUAUCAUGCCAGGUCAAAAACUAGGUCACGGGUCAAUUACUGCGUUCUAAACCGAAAGUUUGUCCGGACCAUAACCAUGUCAUUUAUCAUUAGAUUUUAAAAUCACUUGGUACAUUUGUUCACCAUCAUAGGACAGUGUGUCAUGCAAUAGAAGGACGUCAAUGUCUCCAAGGUCAAGGUCACACUUUGAAUUCAAAGGUAAAGUCGGUCGGUCUGUCUGUCCCAAAAAUUUCAUCUUAUCUUCACCACACUUGGUCAGAAGUUGUAUCUAGAUGUUGUCAAGGUCAAGUUUGAAUAUGGGUCAUGCCAGGUCAAAAACUAGGUCACAGGUCACUAACUGCGUUUUAAACUGAAAGUUUGUCUGGACCAUAACUAGGGCUGUAACGAUACAUUCAUAUUGGACGGCAUGUAAUGCAAAAGAAUUCAAGAGUUCAAAGGUCAAAAUGGCCAUUAAAGACAAUGGCAUAUAAUCAUUCUUCCAAAUCACCAUAAAUUAGCUUCUCUUGUUUUGUGAAGACAGCAUGCAAAAUAUUAAAUGUCAUUGCAGCAUUUUGUGGUAUAUGUCACGUCUGUGACAAAGCUCUAGUUGUGUAUAUGUAUGUAGUAAAAAAUGUUUUGAAUGUAGUAUGUGAGUUAUAUUGGUGUAAUCAACAUUUACUUUGUGAACCCUCAAGAGUACAACCUUUUUUUUGCAAUCUUGAAACUUGAUCAGCACAUUUGUCCCCAUAACAUUAUUACCUUUCCUAAGCACUAUAGCCCCUACGUUGAGCUUGUGUGAUAGUCCUUUGUUUUUUGUGCAUCGUCAAUAUAUGCCAUGUGAACGCUAGAGUCUACAUUUUUGUCCGAUCUAAAUGAAACUUGGUCAGAUAAUUAGUCCCAAUGGUAUCUGGACUCUGUUUGAAAUUGGGUCAUUUAGAUGUCAAACACUAGGUCAAAAAAGAAAAACCAUGUGAACACUAGAGGUCAAAUUUGAUGCUUAAUCUUCAUGUAAUUUUGUAAUAAUGUUUUUUUUUAAUGAUAGGUUCAUUGUUGGUUGAGCAUGAAAAUAAGCCUUUUUUCCAUGAACAUUUACAAAUUUUAAUGUAUUGUAGUGUACACAAUGUGUAAAGUAUAUCAAUUCUCUGAAUUUGCUUAUUAGCAUGUUGUUAAUUAUGUCUUAUUUACAUGCAAUACAUUUUGCUUGUUUACAUUGUAAAUGUGAUGUUCAUUUAAGUGUUGUCUGGGCUUGUUUCCUUCUUUUGCAGCAGCAAAGUAUAUUGACCCUUUUACCUAAGAAAAACUAUGCUGUUAACCUUCAAAUUUACUUUUAAAAACCAUAUUAUCUCCUCAGUGGUAACUUUUCCGCAUAUUUAACAUUUUGACCAUUUCCCCAAAUCAAAAUCAUAAAAAUGACGUGUAAUUUGGUUUUGUUCCUAAUGGUAUGUAACCCCAUGUUUUUGUCAUAUUUUUGUGAUAUCUUUUUCAUUGUUUAAAAGUUUUUUUUCACAAAUUGUUACUUAUGAGCUAUUGUGGCCUGUCUUUGUUGGUCGUCCUGUAUCUUGUGUCAACAUAUUUACUUAAAGGACAUCUCCUUGCCAGCUGGUCCAAUAUUAAUUAAACUUGGCAAGAAUGUUCCUUGCAUGAAGCUCUUUUAAAGUUUUUCAAACAAAAGCAUUCCAUGAAUAACUCUGGCUCUUGUUGCCAUGGCAAGUGUAAGGAAAAACUUUAAAAAAUCCCAUCUGUUUUACCCCCACUACCAUUGGUGGUAGGUGGGGGGGCUAUAUAGGAAUCACUUUGUCUGUCUGUCCCAAAACUUUGUCCGGACCAUAACUUUGUCAUUAAUCUUAAUAUUUUAAAAUGACUUGGUUAAUUUGUGCACUAUCUCCAAGUUCACGGACACACUUUGAGUUGGAAGGUCAAUAUGCCCAUAGACGAGUUUUUCUGGGCCAUAACUAUGUCAUUUGUUGUGAGAUUUUUAAAUCAUUUGGCAGGUUUGUUCACCAUCAUUACACGGUGUGUGAUGCGAAAAAAUUCUGUCCAUAUCACCAAGGUCAAGGUCACAUCUUCAGUUCAAACUUCAUAUAUGGCCAUAAACUGACCUUGUCUGGGCCAUAACUAUGUCAUUCCUUGUGAGAUUUGUGAAUGACUCAGUGCAUUUGUUCACCAUCAUGGAACAGUGUGUAAUGUGAAAGAUCUACACCGAUAUCUCCAAGGUCAAGGUCACACUUUCAUGAUAAUAAAUUAUUCUUUAAAAUAAAAUAAAAUUAGUUUCUCUUACUUUGUGAAAACAACCUGUUAAAUAUUCAGUUAAAUAUUCAGUGCGGCAUGUAGGGGAAUCGUCAUGUCUGUGACAAAACUCUUGUUCAAGUUAUGCCCUAGUGCAAAAUUUGCCCCACCUUGAAGUAAAAUGUAUUUCUUUAUAUGAAAAUUGGAAAAACUUCAGCAAUUGCCUCCGAAACCACAAGGCAAAGCAGAUAUUUGGCAUUAAAUAUUUGGAUAUUAAAACUUCAUUUAGUGCAUCUCUACUGAGACUUUUUAAAUUAUGCCACUGGGUGCAAAUAAAUUUAAUUGUGUGUAUAUAGUGAAAACUUUAAACAUCUCUGAAACCACCAGACCAAGACCACAAGAGCAUAGAUAUUUUACAGUAAACAUCAUCUAGUGGACCUCUACCAGGAUUGCAUUAAUUAUAUCACUGGUUUGGCCCACCCCAGGCACAAAUGUGAUUUCCUUAAGAAUUUAUAGUCACAGUGAAUAAGUAAAAACUAAACAAUCUUUUUCUCUCAACCGGCAAGGAAUAAAGUUUCCGUAUGUAUAAAAAAACAAGUCAGGUGAGCGAUAUAGGGCUAUAAUUCCUUUUUGUUAGUUCUUCUUGUCUGAGUUAUUGUCCUUUAAAGAUUCCUAUGUUAUUACAUGUUGUUAAGCGCAAGUUCUCUGAACCUUACACAUGUUCCAUUUUUCAGCCACUGUUGUAGGUGUAUUGCCAAAUUUAGAGACAAUGCACAUUCAGGGAGCAUAAACUUUGUGGUCUGUGACAGCGACUUGUACUUGUAAUUGCUUAGCAUGAAUGGCAAUCUUUUGAGACAAGACCAUAUGGUGCAGGUAAAGACGUAAUUAAUGAGCUAAAGGUAUAGUUCUAGCAAUAACAUGUUGCCCGUGUCCGUGUGAAUGACUUCAUGUGAUAUUUCUUUUGUACAACUUUGUGAAAGUAUGCACACGAGCUGCGUUUAUGUAAUUGAGAAUCUUAUUAAAUGUUUAGUUAUU